UACGUAGGUGGCAAGCGUUGUCCGGAUUUACUGGGCGUAAAGGGCGUGCAGGCGGUCUGUUAAGUGCAGGGUGAAAGCUCCCGGCUCAACUGGGAGAGGUCCUUGCAUACUGGCGGACUUGAGGGGGGUAGAGGAAAGUGGAAUUCCCGGUGUAGUGGUGAUAUGCGUAGAUAUCGGGAGGAACACCUGUGGCGAAGGCGGCUUUCUGGGCCCUACCUGACGCUGAGACGCGAAAGCUAGGGGAGCAAACGGG
rnacentral:rRNA from 1 species